GCAGAUUUAAAUGACUCAGCAGUAGGACUCAGGUCUCUGUCUCUGCCUGCUUACUUAGGGAGUGCUCCAGCCUUUGGGGCUGUCUUGCACUGCAGCAUAGGAAGGAAAUCAUCGACGGCUCCAUUCCCUGGCGUUUGAGACUUUUCUUCCCACAGACACAUUCCUGAGGACACCAGUCAUGCGUAAAGAACUCCACUGGGGUCAGAGUUGGAUCCCACUAGGCAGUUUAGGACUUGUAAGCAGAGUAGCACAGACUUGGUGUUCCCAGAGCCUCUCACUCAUGAUUCAUGGCUCUCCACCCCAAGCAUCGGACUUGCUCAACUUCACCACAGAAGAAAACAGACUGUAAGCUUAGAGGGCCAGGGAGGAAACUGGAGGCACGUGUGGGAGGAAAAGAUACUGAUGGAUACAGAGAGAAGACAGCUAUCUGCAAACCAGAAAGACGGUCCUCACCACACAUCUUAUCUGCCAAUGGAUCCUUGCUCUUGAACCUCCCGAUCUGCAGAAUCAUGAGAAAUAAACAUUGUGUAAGCCACCCAGUCUACAGUAAUUUGUUCUAGCAGCCCAAGCUGACUAAGAUAUGGUCUCAUUACAUAACCACUUUUAACCCUAGUCUUUCUAUCUGUAAAGUAAGAGGGUGAAAGAAGUCAUGCCAGAAGAUGU
rnacentral:lncRNA from 1 species